rnacentral:rRNA from 1 species
GAAUUGAAGAGUUUGAUCAUGGCUCAGAUUGAACGCUGGCGGCAGGCUUAACACAUGCAAGUCGAACGGUAGCAGGAAGAAAGCUUGCUUUCUUUGCUGACGAGUGGCGGACGGGUGAGUAAUGCUUGGGAAUCUGGCUUAUGGAGGGGGAUAACUGUGGGAAACUGCAGCUAAUACCGCGUAUUCUCUGAGGAGGAAAGGGUGGGACCUUAGGGCCACCUGCCAUAAGAUGAGCCCAAGUGGGAUUAGGUAGUUGGUGGGGUAAAGGCCUACCAAGCCUGCGAUCUCUAGCUGGUCUGAGA